AUGCUGGGGGUGGCCGGCGACGAUGCUGGGGCGUGGGAGGCCGCUUCCAGCAUGGACGAGGCAAGGAGGAGAAGGCGCUGGCCUUGUCGAGGCCGGCAGCAGGCCGCGUCGGGACAGGAGGCCGACAAAGUCCUAGGGCGGCGCGGCGGACUGGGAGUAGAGGAAGUCGACGAGUGGCGGCGCUGGGACGAGGCUUGGGCGGAGCUCCUCGGGCUGGACGCCGGCAAGGAGGAAGGACCACGGAGCGGGGUCACGAGGAACGCAGGGGUGCGCGGGCGUCGGGGCUCCUCCCUUGCGCUAUGCCUGCGAGAGCUCGCGCCUCCUGCGAGCUGCAGCACAAGGAAGCAGGGAGAGGACCCUGGGCGCGGGUGA
rnacentral:rRNA from 1 species